GUAGACUCCUGAGGAGUCUGAAGAGAAAGGCACAGGCCUCUCCCUCCUUUCACCCAUGCACUCAAUGACUUGGAUUUCUUUGUAACUUAAGCCGGUGGGACACAACCAUGUGUCUUGGUCUUGGGGCUCACACUGGUUGCUUUUUUUUUUUUUUUUUUUUUUUUUUUAAACCCUCUCUGCCCAAGAAAAUUCUGAAUUGGUUUACUAAACUGUCCUGACUCUUGUGCUGAAGUCUGAGUUUGUAAGCCCACAUCUUUGAAAAGGGUUGUCAGACUGGAUGAUCAAGAUGGGCCCUUCGAGUCCUGAAGCCUAUGGAGCUCUGAUCUAAAAUGACAUGAUCACACACCACUUUCCCCUCAGCGAUGCUGACUUCAGUGCACCAGGUAGAUCUGUACUGUGGCUGAAUUAGUUUGCUCUCUUUUGGAUAACUGUUCCAUUUGUUGGAGAAUUUGAGUUAUAUAUAGAGUGGGAAUGUUAAGCACUCCUUCCCCACCCUGUCCCCUCCCCCCCAAAAAAAGAAAAAAAGAAUCACUCUGGAGAAUUGUGUUCUAUCCUUGACUCUGCUACAUACUUUUUGCUUAAAAUAAAUUUGGGUGUCCACAUGUGAUUAUUCAUUUCUGAAGAUGUAAGUAGUUUAAAAAUUCAUUUAAAAGCAAAAAUAUGUGUUUUGUACACAAAUGAUGGCACAUAUUGAUAAAUUCUUUGUACAUUUUUAAAAGACUCUUUAUCCAAAUUUGCACAGAAUUUUGAAUUCAUGCAUCUGGGGAUAAGAGUACCAGCUCACUACAGUGGUACAAAGAUUGGUAAAGAGCUACAAAAACCAUACAAAUAAAAGAACUACACAAGAAAGUAAGUAAUUGUGUUUUCAGAACAGAGACCAACUGAUGUGCAGUAAAUAAGACAGUACUACACAUUCUUUCAUGAAGACAAAGCAAAAUAGGAAAUAGCUGUUCAUAACUCAACUGCAUUAGAUGAAAAAUCCUCCUAUAGAAAGUAAAUUAAGUAUAUAAGAACAGUUAAAAGCAUAUGAAAAUGGUCUUAUUGAUUUCCAUAUCUAUUCUAUUAAUGUACAAAUCCAGAUAAUGUCUUGUUUUCAGCUCAUUUAAAAUGUUACCUGAGUGCAGAUGAAUUAUAGCAGAUGGACAUCUCCACUGAUCAUUCAAAUGCCAGAGAGCUCUCUACACUCUGCUUUAAAAUCCAUACUAGCUAAUUAUAACCAGAAUAAAUCAAAAAGAAUGUCUACUGCACAAAGUAACUUGAAGCACUUUAGUAUCAAGAUGAUUUUUUUGUCUGAAAAUCAUCUCUCUUGAUUUAUCAUCUGAAGAAUGCUUAUCAAAAGGCCUGUUAGAAAACAUACCUAUAAUUUUAGUUAUAGAGCUUCUCUCUCACUCUGAGCAUUUCCCUUGAUAGCUGAACAGUGUUUUUGAAACACUGUAGUGUUAUGUCAGACCCCUUGCCUCACAUAAAUAUGAAGCAAUCCAAAGGAAAUGACUGCGGUCAUAUAGCACAUGGUCCCACAUUGAGAUCCUGAAUCAGACAUAUUACUUUUAAUACUUUUGAAUCAGAUAUGUUACAAAUAAAUAAGUGGGAAAACUACAUCCUGUAGAAUAAACUCUUAAAAUGGAAGAGUUGGGGAUACCUGCGGGGUAGUUUAGCCUUUUAGACUUUUAAACCUGCUUUGUAGAGAGAAUCUCUUUUGACUAUAAAUUCAGGUCAUGGUGUUAUCAAAGGUGGUAGAAGACUAGACAGAAGCAUCCUGUAAUCUCUUCAGAAAAUAUUUGAAAAAGGCUUACAUAUACCCCCAGCAGAAAUAUAUUUUCCUGUCCCUCUAUCAGAUUUAUGUAUUCUAGAACAAACAUUAAAGGAUUGUUCUUUGGGGACGACAGUCACUUGUAUCAGUGGCUUAACAGUCAUUGUAAUAAAGGAAUAAAAUGUUUUGUUCAGCUGGCAGGCCUAUAUUCUCUGUGAUAAAUGUGGGAUCUUCUGCAGUGGUGGGAAGGAUUUGAUUCUUACACUGAAAGAAUGCUGCUGAAAAUCCAUAGCUGUGUUUUUUUUACACUGCAGGAGUCACCAAACAAGGAUUUUGGAAGAUGCAUAUGAUUUACCAGUCUACUAUGCUAACAUCAUUUUGACAGGUGUGAUGCAUCAACACAGUAUUAUAAGCUUAAGAUAAAUUACAGCAUUCUUUUUCAUCAAGCAGCAAACUGCAGUGGAGUAUUGCACAAAGCUCAGUGUGUUCAGUCAGUAGGCAUUUGUGCCUGCAGCCUAAAAUAGAAUGUCUUUCUGUGAUGGGUUAAUCCCUCUUUGGCUCUGAUCCUGGGUAGAUUACUAGUUAUAGCAUGCCAUGAAAGACUGCUGUGUAAGGCAAGUAUUUCACUUAAGUCACUUACCACAUUCUCUGGACAACAGAAAUUUCUUGUGCAUCUGCUAGAAAUGUGGGGAUAAUUUAAUUGCCUUUGCUAAGAUUUCCAAUGUAAUUUAAUAAUCAUUUUUAUUAGAAUGUGCAUAUUGUUAGAAGUUAUCAGAACACUGUUACUCCUGGUGCAUUCUGAACAGCAGGUAGAAAAAUCAGACUUUGAUUUUGACUAGGGGUCCUAAUCAUUUCUUUUCAUAAUUUAGAGCACAAAAUGUGUUUGGUCAUUCUCUAUCACUUAUUAUUAUUAUUAUUAUUAUUAUUUUUAAUUCUGGUUGUCUAAACUGUAUGACAAGACCGCAUUCUACUUUACAUUUACCCAAAGGUCAAUAAAUAUCAGAACUUGGCAAAGAAACAAUGAAUAUUCUUCAAACAUUUCCCUGCAAGAAAAAUAGGCUCAUUUCAGCUGAGUGGAUGUCUCUAUUUGAAGGAUAUUUUUCACUGACAUUCAAUUAAUUGAAUUUUCCUGAAGUGGAUGUAUGUAGAAGCUAAGUGAUAAAUUUUAGGAAGUGUACACUUUUAUUUCCCUUAGUUUUAGUGCCAAGUAGGGCUGCAUUUAUAGUGCUUCAUUUUUAAGAUGGUCUAUACAGUGAUUUUUAUCAAAUGGUCCUAUUUGAAAUGUUCUAGCUUGGUAUCCAAAUCAUUAUCUUCAUUUGCAAGUCAGCAAAAUUCUGUGGAUUACAAACACUUAAGCUUUCAGAGCUUGACAUGUGGUCAGAGAAUGGAAAUGGCACUGUGCAAUGGCCAUAACUAGCCAAAUCUCCCAGAUAUUUUGUGGGAGCUUUAUGUAUGAAGAAAUGUUGAGAUGUUAGAAAAAUAGGACAUUAACCAAGAGUAAUGAAAAUGUCAGCAAAAAGUACUGAGUUAAAAUUAAUAAAGAUAGUUCUUGAAGAAAUUAAUUUGUAAACAUUUGUGAAGGGAAAGGAGAAAAGCUUGUGAGAGAAACUAAUACUUGAAAUAAAUAUGGGUAACUAUAAGGAGCAGGAAUUGUUUUUAUUUUUUUUUAUUCUAAUAUCAUUGCUAUAUUUUGUCUUUUUUUCCAUUCUAUUUCUAUUUAGAUUUUAGCUCAAAAUGGAGAUGGACUGAUCUAAAAUAUUCGUCAAAAAUGCUUAAACACGUUGAGAACCCAAAUAUACUUUUAAAUAUGGUCAAUGUGUGUCUUUUGUACAUAGAUCUGUGUUCAUAGUACUAGAAAACUGUUGAGGCCAAAUAGUAGAGAGCUUGGACCCUGACGGUAUGCAGUCUUGUUUACACAGAUUAGACUGAAUAGAAAGUCUAUGGCUGGCUGUGAAGACUGCAAGAUUUUCAGGCUGAACAGGCUCAUAUGGAAGCAGCUGAGGCUUUGUAUGAAAGUGGGAGAUACUCUGCAUGGGUGAUUAACUGUAGUGCAGUGAUCACUUUUCAGGCCAGCCUCGACUCCAUUUUAGACAUCAAAAAAAGGUUUAUAAAGCAAAGUAGUCUUCAAAAUUUUCUGUUAACAAUCAUUCUGAGGAAGAGAUUAAAAAAUGUCAAUGAAAUCAGAAAGUCAAGAGGUUUAUUUGGCAUAAUGGCUGAACAGGGAAGUUCUGUUUUUCAAGGAGGAUCAGGGAGUUCAAUGGUAGGUACAAGGCCACAGUACUAAAUGCUGACAUGGACUUUCCAAGGUUGCCCAGAGUAGUGCUAAAGUCAAUAAUUCCAUAUUGCACCUGUCAGAAGCUACAACAUAAUUGCUUUGAAGUGAGGCAUAUUAACAUCCAUGUGCUCAGCAAACUAAGCAAUUAUGAACAGGUCUCUGCUCUCCCUGUUGGCUGUUAUAAGUAUUUGUUCAAUUUGUUGCUUUGCCUCAAUUCUAGUUAAUGUGACUUAUGAGCACUUAGCACAUACUGGAAAGACAAGGGAGAGAUGUGGCUGCUGGUAGUCUGGCAGUAGUCCACAAACUGUGACCUUAUAGUGACAGGCAAAGAUGGGGCUGAUAGUCAGGAAGGAGUACAGGAUUGUAGGGCAGGAUGCUGCCAGUUGGCAUGGAAACACUAACAGUCAAAGCAUUAAGAUUUUAAAGAAACCAAACUUUUCUUUUCUUUUUUUUUUCCUAGAACAUGAUAGCAAAUGUUUUUGUAACAGUUGCAGAGACUGCUGAUUUUGCCUUUACAAGAUCAAACACACAGUACUACAGGAAUUUGAAAAAAAACAUAUAUCUCUCAAUAUAUUACAUGGGAAAUGAGGAAAAUUGUGUUCUUAUGAAAUUUGUUAUCACUGAGUUCGCCCAAUAUUAUGCAGGUGAUUACUUGAAUUUUCCAAGCAGCAGAUGUUCAGAAAUGGGGAGACAGAAGCUGGCCAAGAAAGCUGCCUCAGCAGCAGUGUGGGUUAUAAAUUCAGCAUGGACAAUCUGUUCUUCAAAGUAGAGCUAAAGUGAUUUAAAAGGUUCGUCAAGGUCACGUAGGAAUACUGUACAGGAGUGCUCCAAAGCACCAGCUGUCAGGACUGUCAAGUCUUGCUAAUGAACAGUGGAAUUUGUAGAAAAUAAUACUAAUGCUAAUUGAAACCUGAACAGCUUAGAAGUCUAGCAGGUUAUUGCUAUUGAUUCAUAUCCUAUGAUAAUGUCUCCUACAGAGCAUGCAGGAGUGCCUGUCUACCUGUAGUAUUAGCUAAUCCAUUGUUGAUGCCAUUCAUACAAGUAUCUGGAAGGUCUGAAGCCCUCUUCAGAGAGAGGGGUGUUCUAUUACUAUAGAAAUGAUGGAUCACUUUCUGAUUUUGUAAUAAAUUCUGAGCAGUAUCUUCACCUCAGAAAAGGAGAGGAAAGUGCCAAGAUAGCUUACAGUUCAUUAGGAUUUUUUCCAAGGGCUGGAGUGGGUCUGAAUAAUCUCAGUUAUAAUUUAAUUAAUCUAAUUAUCUUAGUUUCUGUUUUGGGGAAAGAGGUGGAGGCCUUUUUUAUAAAAAGGAUUAAUAAGGAACCAUUAAUAAGGAACCUAGCAGCAGUUGUGUCUUAGGUAUAUGUGCCAAGUCUGACCCUAGAGUUGAAAGAGAGAUAUGUAAAUUCUGGACCUUAAAAUGCUAAAUUGCCCUUAAAUUGCCAAUUAUGAUCACGUGUGUCUGCAUAGGAGAACAAAUCAGAACUCACCCUAGCUCUGGUCUCAUGGUCCAACUGCAGGCACACAGCACUGAGUUUAAUCAAACAAGCCUCACUUCUUCAUUCAGGAAUCUCUGAAGCUCCAUGGUAUGUAUUCCCUAUGUUCUUCUUUAAAUUCGGUUCCAUUUUAAAAUGAGAACUUACAUGGCACUAAGAAUAAUACCGAUAUCUAAGUAGACUGUCUCUCAAGGGUUACAUGACACAUGUAACAAGUAUGUUCAAUUUCAAUGCAGUUUGUAGACUUCGUUAAAGACAGCAACAUUAUCCCACAAACAGCAUCCAAAACAUUCAAAAAAAUUUUAUAGACCAACAGUGAGGGCCUUGAUAAUGAAGAAAUUUGGUCAGUUUUUUCUCUACAUUGACUUAUGAAAUUUCUUUAAUUGAGUUUUAUGACAUUCAUCUCAGAAAUUUAGUAAAUAAAAAUCACAGGUUGCAAAUGGUAUUUGUGUAGAUAUGUAAAAGAUCUACAGGAAGACCCUUUGAAUUUUGGGAAUGUGAGCCUAUUUCUACUACUCAAGUGGUACAGAUCCUGAGUGUCACUUAUUAAGUUAUUACUGCAAAACCACAGACUUCUCAUGUCACCAGUUGGACCUCCCUUUGCUUCUUGUCACUGCUUUUACUGUGCUGCCAGAACAAAUACAUUCAUUGAGUGGUAAGUUAUAAUUUUCCAGAUUUAUGCAGUGUUGGAAUAUUCCCCAUGGUAUCUUUCUGUGCACAUUUUGCAAUUCAGCUGCUUAAGGAAAAUUCUGGGAUUUGAAUUGCAAUUAUUUUUAAGUAACAAGUAAUUUAGUAUAAAAAUGGUCUGGUGAGUGUCACAGUUGUCUUUAUGGUCUUAAGUUUCAACUUCACACUGUGAAGACAGUAAGGUUUGUUCGUCAGCCAGAUCUUGAAGCUGAGAAUAGAGUUAAUUAACUGAGAUUGGCAGUAUAUGCUUUCCCUAUGUCAGGACAAAACUUUACCGGUGUUUUGAAAACAACCUUCCAGUUGUUUUUAUAUUAUUCUGACACUUUCUGGGAGUAUUUUUCAUAAACUGUUUUUACAAAUCACUGACAAAUAGGAUCGUAGAAUCAUAGAACAGUUUGGGUUGGAAGGAACUUUAAAGACCAUGGAGCUCCAACCGCCUGCUGUGGGCAGGGCUGCCAAUCAUCAGAUCAGACUGCCUGGGGUCCCAUCCAACCUGGCCUCAAAUAACUCCACAUAUGCCUAAUACUGAACAAAAUGAAUAUAAAUAGUUCAAGAUUCAAGGAACUUAGGAUAUAUAUAGGCACCUAUAUAAUGCAGUUCAGUGCACAUUGAAUGUUGCAAGUAUGAUCAGUGUAAGACCUUGUCUUUCCAUUUUCACAUUCAUAUUUUCAGGUUAGCACGAAGAAAGUUACUGUUCUUCAAUACAAAUGAGAUGAUCAAAAUUAUAUUUAUCUAUCUGAAAGAUUUUGAAGAUUUAAUACCUCUGUUAGUCCAUCUGCAGAGCCAACAGAAAUCCCAAGGUGGCCAUCUGGACAGAUUUCACUUCUAACAUUCAGCCACCAUUACUGUCUCUUCUCUUAGAAAUAUGUAAUUUGUGGGAAGCAGACAGAAGCAGUGUUAAGACAGCUGCCUGAAGUCUAGCUUUCUGGUCAGGUAAGUGUGUUGCAGAAACUAGAGAUCCGCAUGGCCGAGGAAACUGUAUGGAGUGGUUAAAAAUAGCUGAUGCACUGAACUAGUCAGUUUUCAUAUUGGGCUCAUAUAGGGCAGAGACUGUUAAUGAUUGUUGAAGCGUGUAUUUAUAGGAAGUUGACCAUGUGGAAACCUGGCCCAAAUCACCUCAGUCCCCAGUAUAUACAUAGAAAUUACCUAGAACCUUGUAAAUAAGGAAUACUCAUAAAUGUUUUUCUUCUUUUAAAAAUGACUUAAUGGUUACAGUUUUCCAUUCAGAAUACCUUUAGCUGUUUAAUGAAGCAUCAUGUACAGUAUGAACUACAUAAUAAUUAUAGGUUUUGGAGCUGUUUGUAAGUGAUAGCUUACAAUAAAAAAUGUCUGACUUAAGAAAACAGUCUUGCUCACAGAAUAGUAAUUUUAGCAUAAAAGUUUAUGAUUUUUUAUAGCUUUAUAACAUUUGAUGAUGCUAUAAAGCCCUCACAGUCUUUACUGUUUAAAAUGAUUUGAUAGCACACAUACGUUGUGUGAAUGCUGCAUUCUUCAUCAAAUUUUAUUUUUGCUUCCCGUUCUGUUAAAAAAUAAAAAUGUAGCAUGCAAAUACAGAGAUGAUUAUUUCCUACUUCAGUGUUUUAAACAUUUGACGUAGAGUGGAUGGUUAAAAAAUGAAAAAAUGUUUGUAGUUCUUAAAUGGAAAAAAAUUAGAAAAAUGUAAGAUAAAUAGAAUGAGCAAUAUUCUGUGAGUUUUUGUUUUUGUGCUUUUGUUGUUGCUGCUUUUUUUUUUUUUUUCCUAGAAGUGAAAUGAAUAUUGAUGAAAGAAAGGAAAAUAAAGGUAAGAAAAGUCUACCUGUCUACAUUUUGUUAUCUCAUGAUUGAAACAUUCUGACCACAGCUAACAAAAAUCACUAAAAUAUAUCCUUAAUUUACAUUAACUGCUUAUCUCAUGCAGGCUUAGUUGGAAUUGGAGUACACUUAAGUUCUUUGUCAAAUGUGAAUGUGAUAACUCAUGUAAGUGCAAGUUUGAUCAGGAUUAAUCAGUGAAUGUUUAUGAGAGUGUUACUAGUAUACAAUCCUGUUUGUCAGCUGUGGUGAGAAUGCGUUUGUUUGCUCUAGUGUGUUCUAUAAAGCCAAUCUAUUUCAGUAAUAUAAUCUCAGUUUAACCUUCAAAAUAGUGAGCAUAAUUACUUGAUCUUUCAGGUAUCAAAAUCAUCCAAAAGAAAUCCUGUAAAGAUGCUGAAGCAAAAUCCUAAAUGAUGCCUAUAUGACUUCUUUUGCUGACUCUUUUGAAAAAAAUGUUUAAUGACUCAUUAGAUAGCACAGUGGCGGUUCUACCCUAUUUCUUGCAGAAAAAAAAACACUAAAAUGAUGGAAGAAGAGAAUUUAGAGGACAGUAUUCUGCACUCCACUUAAAGUCUAAUUUUUGGGAUCCUAUCCUGAUGUUUAGAAGGCACCCCUUUUGCCAUUAAAGCUAUUUAGGCACAACUGUUUAGACAAAUUUGACACUCUUACUUAUGAAAGAAGAUUAUAACAUUCUCUUCUGGUAUGCAGCUGCUACUAUGCAUAAUUUACUCAGCAUUUAUAGUCUCUUCAGAUUGUAAAGCUAUUGUGUGAAUGUAUUCUCUAGAAAAUAGCUAUUACUUUGAUAGUAAUAUCUUACUAAGGUAAGAAAAGAGUACUCAGUACUGAGAUCUAUUUUGCAGUGGCUGUAGAAAGUCACUCCAUUUUUCACAUGUAAAGCUCUGCUGCUUACAUUUGUCUAAAGCAUAUUUUUCAAGCUGGGCAUAAAAGCCUUAAUGACUUUCCACAGCCCCUUCAUGGUGAGAGAAAGUUCAGAAGUGAUAUUCAUCCAGCCUUGAAUGAGGAUGAAUGAGGAAGGGUUUUAAUGGAUAAACAGAUGUUCAGUCUUAUGUAGGAUUUUGUAUUUGAUCAUUCAAAGAAAUGGCAAGAAAUAUCAACUUGUCAGGCAAACCGUUUCCCACCAUGAGCAAAAUAUACUGGAACUAACCCCUGCAUCUGUUAUUUUCACUUGAGCAGAGGAGCCUCAGCAGCUUCAAUUCUAUUUAGAUUGUUUUGAAAACAGUUUACCUGAAUAAACAGUGAAAGUGCCACUUCUCAUUUACAACAUAUUGAAACUUGUCAAAAACCAUAAUUGGACAUGUGAACAGAAAAGAAAGAACUCAGAGCUCUGUAACACAACAGCAGUAAGAUACUUUACAGAAAUGUUGCAGAAAUAAAAUGGUGUGCCUAGUGCUUAAGAAUUUGCCACUUGAAUAAAUUGAUAAAGGAAUAGUUAUAAAAUUGAACAUUUCAGUAGGCCACAAAUAGGAGUAUCAACUUAAACAUUUUAAUGAAUAAUGAAUUACUAAUAAUUUAUUAAUGAUUCAAAGAUCAUAGCACAUCCAUUACAGGGCAAGUGUAAGGUAUUACUUUAAAUAAUAUGUGAGUGAGCAAAUAUAGAGUAUAUUAGAUACUUUUCAUUGAGAUUCAUAUUUGGAUUUCUAGAUAUUGAUUGUAUUUCACUGAUAUACACUGUCUUAAAAUUAUAGAUGAGUAAACAAGGUAAUAUUUUCAAAAAUAGUGGCCACAUAUAAGCUUCCAUAUCUGUAGUUACUUUCCUAAAAAAGAAAUGUGUUUUGAGUUUAGGUUUUGUUUUAUACUAAAGUAAAAUUCCCAAAAUGGUCUACCUUGUAUUGAAGUACAAUAACCUAAGGAGUAUAUUAAUGACUUGCAACAAUUUUAAUUUCCACGUCAUUCUGAAAAGAUUUUUUUUUUAAUGGAUAAAAUAUUUUAGAACUUUAACCUAGAGAUGAAAUAGUUUGAAAAUAUCAUCCUAGGUGUAUUUUUUUUCAAGACUCCUAACAUCACAGUGUCAGUAACAGAAAGUAACUAUUAAAUAUUUUCAUGUUCCUUGCUGUAUCCAAAAAGUCACUUCAUGGAGGAUUAUUAUCUUUUCCAGAAUAACACAUACUCUAAUUAUCAUUAAUUGUAAAAUUCUUACCAUUUUUUUAGAACAAAAACAAGCUGUAAGUGACAUAUUGUCGACGGUUUACGGGCUGGUCCAGCCCGGUUCCAUGACUAGUGGGGCGGAGGGAUUUUUUUGCAAAAUCCGCGCCUCCAGAAAAGGGAAACAGGGGACCCCCCACAAAAAAGAAUAAUUAAAAAAAAACAGCAGCAAUGAUCUGAGGAGAAACAAACUAAUUUACUAAAUAUAGUAUCGGAAUGCACGAUAAUACACUAUAAUACAAUAUAAUUCUAUAUAAUUGUUAAUAAAAUCAAAUAUAAUUGAGAGAAGGAUUGUCUGAGAGCUAAAGGCCUUACACUAAUACUGAAGCCUUGCGUGCAGUCAGGAGCAGCAGUGAGAUGGUCCGAAAGCAAGCACGAUGAGAGGAGAAGGCAGAGGACUCAGGUCAGGUGACCUACAGGCCUUAUAUCUGUUCCCCUGAGCAGGAAUGAUAACAGUACUCGAACAGUCUUCUGGGGAACGUGGUGGUUCUUCUCUUCCGGAUGAGUACCCGGAACUAGAGCAUUUGCUUUUUAACUCCCAGUUAAACAUCACUGCAUGAUGUUAUGAUGUGGAAUACCAAUAACCAAAAAUCAUAAAACCAUGACACAUAUACAAACAACUGUACAGAUCCUGUCAGUUCAUGGUCUAAAAGUCAUUAAUGGUUAGAAGACAGCAUAGAAUAAUAUAGAAUUCAGUAGUACAGUCACUGUAACUGAAGUGCCCCAAACCCGAAGUAUCUAGAUAAACAAACAAAGAAACAAACAUCAAAGAUGGAAUUAGGUUGAUUAUUACAUCAAGAACAUUGUCCCCACAUCCCAUUUAAGAAGGAAAAAGAAAAGAAAAUGAGCCAAUCCCUUCUAUUACUGAACUUUAUCAGCUCUUCAUUUAAUGAACAUAUGUACUACACGUUUGGCCUGAAUUAGGUUACAGUCAUUACUUAUACUGUAGGAGAAAAAAAAUCUGUCAGCAUCAUUAACAAAAUUUUGUCUUUAGACUGUGAAUUAUUCAGUGUUUUGUUGCUUGACUUUGCUUUUCUGCCUGUUUGCAUGUCUGAAACUGUGUGUUGAGCUUAGGAUGGUUAUUUCAGCCAAAGCAAUCUUGCCAGGCUCCCUAUUGAGCAAGACUGUUAGGCAAGACAGCUGCAUGAUGUUUGGUUUAAUUUGUUGACACUAAAAAUCCAUGAGUUCAGCUCUAAUGGAAGACAGAUCAUGCAAUGCCCUAGUGAAGUACUCGGAGCAUACUUAGCAUAGCAGAUUUUGACCAGGGAAGAGUGCACACAUUCUAAAUUGACAGAAAAUCAGAGAGCCUUAGUAGUUCCUACAGCUAAUGGAAAUUUGAAUUAUGCUUUGCCAAUGAAGUCUGGGAAAAAAAUUAACAGAAAGAAGAAAAGAGUAGGAAUACAAUGGAGGGAGUAGAGCAGAAAAGAAUACAAAUGUAAAAAUUGUUCUUUGUGAUCUAACUGAAAGUUAUGCUUAAAUUUUAUGGUUACAUUUAAUUAAACAGAUUUUUUUUCAGUAAGUUGCACAUCCAGAAAAAGAGUUUCUAAUGACUAUCCGCCCAAAAGGCAUUGAACCAUGUUCAAAUUUACUUUUGUGCUCCUAGCAGCAAUAGAAGCAACAAAGAAAUGAUAACAGUACUUACUACAUAUGCAUAUAACAUUCCUGUCAGCAUUUUCUUACUUAGAAAAGCCUAAAAAAAGUUUGUGGUUACUGAAAAAUUUCAUUGUGAAAUUCUUGAUGAUCAUCUCUUCUUUCAAUUCAAGAAUGAACUUCUCUAUCUCUGUGAAAAGAUUUAUUUCUGACAGGAAAAAAAAAAGAUGUUGCCAUUUUUUGUUUGUUACUUAAUAUGUUACGUGAAAAUAUAGAACAACAUCCCAGAUAAAAUCCCUCCUACCACAGAAUUUGGCUUAUGUUUAUUGAAACUUAAGUACAUACUAACAAGCAAUAAUUUUAUGUUAAUUCUGAGGACUUUUUGGAGCACAUCUGUCCUGUAGAAAAAGUGAUAUGUAUUACAAGCCCUAAGCAGGUGGAUGCAGCAAACAAGCUGCGGGUCAGAGAAAGAAAUUAGUAUCAAAAAUACUAGAAAUGUGAAUUCCCAGGCAAGUGAAACCGUGGCUUUCUGUAUGGAGUUUAUUGCUUUCUGGGUGUCUUAUAGCAGAAAGGAACCUGAGGAUGAGAUAAGGGGAGGAAAAAAUUGAACUUUUACAGAGUGCACUUAAAAUGUGCGUGCUAGAUUGUAGACACAUGAUAAGAAUGAGAAUAUCAGUCUAUUAUUUCAGUACUUCUGUGGUUAAAGUUGUCUUAAAUAUGUUGCAUAAAGAUGUUAUUUUUUUAAUGUAUAAUUUUCAUUAGGUUUUUGAAGAUUCAUGGAAAAAGAAUGCAUUUCCCAGAAUCAUCAGUCUCCAGGGUGACUGUACUCUUACAGCCAUGCUUGUGAAGAGAGGAGGUCCUUAAGCACUGCCCACCUCCUGUCUGUGCUUUGACAGCUGCCCUAAUGCAAUCAGGAGCCAGCAGGUAGGACAGAGCUGAAGCUCUCUGCCUGGGUACCAACUAAACAUGGAAGCUCAGAGGCCAGGGUGUACCAGAGAGAAAGCUGCCUCAGAAGAAAAGGGGUUAGUCUAGUUCUGAAUAGCUUGGACAUUAAGAGACUGGAGAAAGCAUGGUUCAAGAGUGGGAGUGAAAUUCCAUUGUCAGCAUUCAUGAAAAACUACUAGUGCUUCUAAUAGUUUUCUUGGGAAAUCAAAGCACCUGAAUUGCAUGUGUACCUGGCUUCUGUGGUUGGAAUACUGGAUGAAUGCCCUUGAAAACCCUGCCUGGUUCAUUAGUUAACUGGGAGAUGCCCAGAGGUUAUAUGUAGAACAUCACUGCAACUUUUGAACAUAGGAUCUGAAGGAAACCAGUUUCAGUGGAGGCCAUUAAAAUUAACUGGAAUUCAGUUUAGCGAGUACAUUGCUACUGCACAAAAGCAGUAUCUACAGCUUCAGCGAUAAAUCAUAGCAACCUCUAUAAAUGGUAUACCACAGAAAAUCACAAUUAAACAAAAUAAUGUUUUCCUCCUUUUACUCUAUUUCUCUAACAGCUGUAACAGCUGAAGUAUCAUGCCAGAGACAUUAAUAUGCCUGGCCCCUGAGUAAUUCUAGAUGUAGGCUAGAUUUACCUGGAUUACAGUUGUAUAUUUCAGAAGGUGAAGAAAAGAGAUGCAGCACUUGAGAUUUAAUUUUGACAGGAAAAAAGGCAGACACAAAGUUGAAGCAUCAUCUAAAUGGUUAAUUUGGAUACUUAGAGACUUCUAGCUGCUGUGGUGUGUGAACACCUGGGAAGAAAAGACUCCAGCAGAAAUCAAGAAGUACAAAUGAAACACAUCUGUAUGAUUGCUGUUUUCCCAGAGAAGAGCUGAAAUGCAGUAAGUAGCAUGGAAGGACUCUAUCAGUUACGGCUCUUUAAUGUAUACAAUGUAUUAAACGUAUAUAACGAUAAUGAAAUCUUCCUGUUCGCAGUUGGAUUUUACCUCUAAGGUUAGAUGGAAGGCCCAUAGCAGAGAUGAUACAUGUAUUCCUGUGUGGAUUUAUUUGUUAAAAGUAUGUUUAAAAUGUUUUAUAAUAAAAGUAAAAUCCACUGACGAAUAAUAUUAUUUGAUAUCUUUCAAUAUAAUUGCAAAAAUAAAAAGAUUCAAAUAUAUUAGAAAUUACACAUUAAAAUCAAAACCUACAAAAAUCUAAAUUGCUCUUUCUUAGCUAUUGUUUUCAAACUGUUGUUCUAAGUAAGGCCCAUGACAGGCCCAUGGCCACUUUUAGCUGUAAUGUAUGAUCUCGAAAAGCUUUUGAAAAGGUUUUACAGUACAACAUAAAUAUAGAAAUCCACCCUUUCUCAGUAAACUUAAGGUUAAAUAUACACAUAAAUUAAUGAUUAUAUUCAAGCUAACAACAUGUCAUUUGUUUUCAGUUAUGAAAUAUUCAAAGCUUUGUUAUGUUGGUGAACUCAGAGUGUCAAAGACAGACACACAUUGUUUGAAAAGCUUAAUCUGGAAAAAAAGAGAGUAAAGUUUGAAGAAGGAUAUGUGAGGACAUAUUUAACUACUGUAAGACUUCUUGCAUGCAUAGAUGUGCAUUUAUGUGUCACAUGCUCAUCAGAAUCUACCUACACACAUCAUAUUAACGUUGAUAUAUUAAGAAGUCUUCUUUAUUAGCGUCUUAAUUUCUCGAAUAACACUUUGGAAAAAAUACUUUACUCACAGGAUUUUUUUCCUUCUGCACUUUGGAAGAUCCUCAGAUCCUCACAGUUUACCUGAGAUGGAAAGAUUUAUGUUAUCUCAAAGUAAUGCCAGAAUGUACUCAUUCUAAUAAUUUCAGAACUAAUGAUCACAGACAGAUGACUAAAUCAACCUAGCAGCUCUUUUUCUGUGCUGAAGUCUUUCUGUAUUUACAGAUAAUAAAAGACUAGAAGUCUUAAUAACAUCUAGUAUAAUCAGCUUAAGAUUUUGAGUUUUAUAAUGGACACAUGAAACUGAUAAUUGUUUCCAGUAGGCACAUCUAUCUGGAGCUGGAAAGCUGUUUCAAAUUCACUUUUUCUAUAGAACAAGGGCUGCUCCAGAAGUAAUGCCUCCUGUUUUAUUAUGUUGGCCUACAAUGUCAGAAGCAGGUGUUCGUGGCACGGCAGCAGGAGCUGGACAUUCCCACCAAAAUUUCAUUAUAUUUUGUUGCUCUGUGACAGAUGAAAGAAGAGGGACAGUCUGAGAAAAUGGCAUUUGACAUAGAAGUAAAUAUGUGCAAUUGAAUUCCUCCAUGCAUAGAAAAAUUGUACCCAUUGACAUUCAUUGACACUUGCUGCAAGUUCGUAGAGACCAUACAGUGGGUGUGAGCACACUAAGGUGGAGGAUGGUGUGUUACAGCAGUGGCAACAGUGACGUGAAAGAUAAACCACGUCUUAUGAGAAAGGCAUGCAGGCACUUGUUCAUCAGUGUCAAAAAUGUGCAAUUAAUGGUUGCUACUACACUGAAAAUAAAUGUUUUGUGGCUGAGAAUAUUCUCUAUCAAAUAGUGCUAUUGUGCUGUUUGCAGGUGGUGAAUUUUUCAUGGAAAUAAAUAGGAGGCAUUACUUUCAGAGUGACCUAUGUAUGUUCUCCACUUUUUUUGAGAAGACCUAUUGAAGUUGGCAUAAUAAAAUAAUUUAUUCAGACAUUCAGUUUUCCUUAUAGUUCUGUCUUAGGCCCUUCCUUAUUGGACAGGCUACGUUUGACUUUUCAGAGGAGAUUAGGUCAAAGUCUCCAUCAGUUGCAGGGUCAGGAUUCUUUCCAUUUCCAACUCAAAAUCAGUCUUUUUUUUUUUUUUCUUGUAUCAUUGUACGGGAAAAUAAUAAAGAAUGUAUACUUUGUUUAGGUAUGUCUAUUACACAUUUGUGAGGUGGUCCCAUUGCUUUAAUGUAGAUGGAAUCUUUGCAGUAACAUAGAGAAAUGUGUUUACACAGUUAUGUUUAUUCACUCUCAUAUUCUGCCUUUGAAAGAAGGACAAAUGUAUUUGCCUAAACUGUAAAAUGCUUUUUGCUAAUGCCUCUGAAUUCUUUACACUUACUGUUUUCCCUUCUUCCUAUGUCUCUUUAUCCCUUUGGAAUAUGAUCCUUUUCUCUCUGUCAUUUAGAUUCCUAUUCUUGACUACUGCAAGAUUCUUUCCUGCUACAUAGGAACCUAUGUUUUUCAAGUUUUUACUUUUGACCAAAGCUGUGUUCUUUGGCUCAUUUUUUACCCUCUUAUAUAACCUUCACUGAACUGAAAAAAAUGAUACAAGAAUUGUCUUUUAAACUUGAAUGAAGCGAUAUCAAACACUGUGCUGCCUAACAUAGAGAAAUGAAUUGAUUUGGGGAAAUUAAAUAUUGAUAUUAUGCUCUCAGGGCCAGCACAAAACUAGGCAAUUUCACAAAUUUUGCAUGGACCUCUGAGAGUUAGUGUGAAAAUAUAUUAAAGUAAAGGAAGUAGGGCAAGUGGCUAAAAGAAAGGAGUCUGUAGCUGACAUGUCGGCAUUGUAAGUUUUCAGCCCUUCUGAGCAGAGCUCCACUGAAUGUAAAAUGGCAAAGAGGAGAGGGUCUUUUGUGUCUCUCCUCAGAUAGGGGCAUUGACAACCUGAUUCAUUUUCAGUACAUGCUCUUGUACCUGCAUGAAGCAACUGUAGAACUACAGAGGACUUUCACUUGAAUUUGGUCCCUAGCUUAAGCCAAACAAAAAGACUUCUCUUCACAAGCUGCAGAAAUAGUUAAAGGGUAAGAAAUUUCAUGUCGGUCAUCAGUAUCAGAAAGUACUGCUGUGAAUGGUUUUGAUUUAUUUUAGUCUAUCAAGCUGAAUGUUAAUUUUCAUGCUAGAAAGAUGUCUUUUCUUCCUUGAUUUAUUAAAUAAAAAUAGGUAAAAAAAAAAAAAAAAGAUUCUUUUAAAGAUACUCUUAAAUGUAUCUACUAUGAUUUAAAUUAAGCAUUAGCUUUUAUCUCUAAAAUGAAGAGCUCGGUUUACUUCUCUUAGUGACUUCGGUUUUAGAAGAAAAAAUUGUGUCCAUGUUCAGUUAUAUGUUCGAAAAACACUUAGUUACAGUCAGUUACAUAUACAUCUCCAAAUACCAGUAAAAUUUCCUCCACUUGUCUGUGUGUGUGUGUGUCUGUGUGUGCAGAUAAAGAUAGAUCGUCAAGCUCUUACCAUCUAGACACUCUUCUAUGUAUUAGGAAGGGAUACGUUGUGAAGUAGGGCAUAAGCUUAUAAUCUAAGGUCAUAGAUUUGGAACUGCCUUGGAAGUGGUGUGUGAUGCUCAGCAAGACUGCUUUUCUUAACCUUUAUUGUUUGUGAAAUUCAGAAAUGUGCUUCCUGCUCGUACUAGUAAAAAUAACUUGUCUUAUUUUCAAAAUGGAACACGUGUAAAAAACAGCAUGAAAUAUUUUUUUCUACUAAGGAAAGUUUGCCUUGCUUUCUUAAAAAUGAACCCACUAAUCCCUUCUAGAUAUUCAGCAUGAAUGUCAUUUAGCACAGUCUGAGAGCAGAUAAAUAAUCCCAUUCUUCUCUGUUCUCAUUUUCUUAUAUUUCACUGUAUGAAUAAAACCACUUCGUACACUGCUAUGAAAGAGACAAUAUUUAGAAGCCAUAGAGAAGACUAUCAAUUCAUGAAACUGAAUUCUGUAAAGAAAUUCACUCUGAAACAAAAGUAUAUUUUAAAUGUUUUUCAUUUUGAAUAAACUAUACUUCUGUAAAGAUGAAUUUGUUAAAUCAAAAAUUUCUCAAAAUUGUGAUAAAAGAGAAAAAACUUGAAAAAAAACCCAAAAAACUAAACCUCUUCAAUGUCCCCAUUCUCCUCCACAUAAAUCUUCUGUUUAAUAUCAAGUAUCUAAACAUAAACCUAAUUUAAACCCUUUUAAAAUAGUAUUUUCUACUGUGAUUUCUGUAUUAUUAUUAUGUGUUAUAUUUACCUGUAGAUCUUUAACUGAUCUAGAUGAUUUUGAACUUUCUACUGCUGACUAUAUUUAUUCUUUUACAUAUGAAAAUGACUUUACAUAGUACACCAUUUUAUGAAUAUGACUGUAUUUAUUUCUUCUAGUAGGCCGAUAGUCUUUAAGCCUUUUAUUGUUAUUUAUUUUAAAAUGGGUAUUCUGAUGAAUUAUGAGCAUGUGCUGAAACACUAUCUGUAGCUCAAGUUGGAAUACAGCUUUUUGUUCUGUGUACUUUACAGCACUUAAAUCUUUCUCCUUCCCGGACUCUCUGUAUUUUUUUUCAUUUUUAAAAGCCUUCUGUUUAUUGCUUCCACUAAUCUUUAGAUCUCUACUUAACCUCAUUGCCCACUGUUGCCCUUUUCUACAUUUAGAUUUAACCAGCAUGUCAAUUACAGUCUCUCCAGAAAAUUUCUGAAGCAUUUUCCAUUUUUAAUUUUAAAAACCCACCUUUUAAAAUGGUACUUGAACAAUAUCACAGCUUUCUUCAAGUACUGUGUUCAGAGAACUCUGUGUUCUUCCUGGUCCUUAGAAAACGUCAGUAGAAUUGGAGAAAAGAUGGAAUGUAAAGAUAUAUGUAUAUAUAUUUAUAUAAAAAAUAUAUAUGUAUAUAUAUUUAAAUAUCCAAAAAACCUCGUGAAAUUCAUUGAAUGUACUCGCUAUUGAUACAGUCUUGAGAGAAAGCCAAGUCACAAGUGUUAAAGGGUCUAAGUCUUACACACAAAAACUGAAGCACCUGUGAGAAGUCUGAGAGAAAUCAAGAAUGGUGUAACAGGUGUAUCUGAGAAGAUAAAAUAAAAUACAGAUGACUCCUUAAGUUCUAGAGCAGGGCUAAUAAUACCCAUCUUCCAAAGGUCACUCACUGCUGGAGUUACUGUUUUUUAUUGUUCUAAAUUAUCAUAUUCUUGGCAGUUUUUAAUGCUAUCAGCAAAUUCAUUUCUCACUUUAAUUUUAUUGUCUACAUUUAGAUAAGAUUUUCAUUUUUACCAUUUGAGAAGGUAGAAUGCAGAAACCCAUUGUAUUUUGCUGGAUUCUUUAAAGAUGAGUUCAUAAAUAUUGAAAUAACAUUCUAGACUGUCUUUUGUUUGAAGAUUUUCCAUACAUUUUUUUUCAGUUAUAAAAACAAGUUUUUCUGAAUUUGUCUUGACAAUUUUAUAAGAUUGUGUAUCAUCUAAUUGUGGCUCAGCCUUGUCCACCUUCAGUUCUAUAAGAGAGAAAUUGACAUCUUGGAGUUGUAGAGUUUUACUGCCCAUGUUCAAUUAUUUCUGUCACUUGGAUCACAAUGUGUAACUCUAAAUAAUGCCUUUCUUUCUUUAGUUAUCUUCUUUACCUUUCUAGCAGGUAUGACAAAACCACACCCUUUAUAAAUCAUAAAUAAUUUACUUCUUAUAGCAUGAAUUUUUCUUAGUUGCUACAAAUGAAAAAUAUUUUUGGUACAGGCAAUUAAUGUUCUGAUGGUGCCAGAAUAGGUGCUGGAAUUUAUUUGUUAAUGGCACUAAUUUUGUAUGUUAAAAAUAAUAUGGUUCUCAGCUCUCUGAAUGUGAGAACUUCUCAAAAGGUCAAAUCUGUGUGGUUCAACUAAAAAGAGAGGUGGAAAUUAACUUUGGAACAGGAGGACAUAGUUUAGUUCAUUGGGAGCCAAUUAGUUCUCUUCCAGAAUACAGAAAGAGUAUUGUAAGCAAAUGGUACUAUAGCUGCAUUUGAGUAAAGACACAUGGAGCUGCAUUACCCAACUCAAUUUUUAUGUUUUAAACAACCAUUUCCAUUACCCCUGUGAAACAUCACACAUGGAAGUCUCUUGAGGCUCUGUGUUUCAUUGGUGACUUUCUAGCCUACUUCCCUCAGCCUGCCUCAUUUUUUAAUUUGCACAGUACACUUGAGUUCUUUGGUUAGACAGUCAAAGAAAAGAUCUGUCAGAGGGAUUAGUAAGAAGACUUAAGGUUGUCUCAAGCAAGCUUAUGGUAAAAGGAUUUAAACAUACCAAGCAUUAGUGAAAGUGGUUGGCUAAAGAGGUGCAAACUUUCUACCUGUAGCCUGCUUUUCUGCAAGUCCCCAGUCAGUGAGCAGUUAUUCACCAGCCAUCUACAAAAUACACAGAGGUGUUCAUAUUCUUAAUGAUGUAGUCUAAAACAGUGCAAGGAGCAAAAACAAUAGAAGCAGAAAGAAAGAAUAUCUCAUACCGUCUUCCCCUACUACGGUACAUACUAUAUAAUAAAAAUGUGUCAUGGUUUUAUGAUUUCUGUUAUUGGUAUUCCACAUCAUAACAUCAUGUAGUGCACUUGGUGUUAAAGAGUUAAUGCUCCAGUUGCAUGGAUUGUCAGUAUUUUUGGGUACCUGGUUCUCACAAGAGAAGAACUACAUAAACCAGCAGACUUUUAUUGUUACAUUUCCUGUUUCCAUUUUCCAUUUAGAGGGAAAGAUAAAACUCCCUAGUCAUGAGAUUGGUUCCUUCUUUUACUGCUUGCCCCUGCAGUGUAUUCUUCCUAGCCAUCUCACCUUCAGUGCUAGAGUAAAGUCUUCAGUUUUGGACACUUUCUCAUUUAUUUGAUUUAUUAGCUUCAAUUCCAAUUAUAUUAGAUUACAUUGUGUUAUCUCACAUUCCACUGGCAUAUUUAGUGAAUUAGUUUUCUCCCUUAGCUUGUUGCCACUGUUUCGUUUUGUUUUUAGGCCCUCCUCUCUACCUUUUUCCCCUUUUUCUCUUCCCCCUAUCCUGGGGCAUGGGUCAGUGGGUCCCUCCACUGCACUAGUCAUGGAACUGGGCCAAACUGGCCCCAAACCCAUGCCAAAGUGUGAGAUUUGCAGCUUAGGGAGUCCUACUUCUGGGAAGCUUUAGUUCUGAAGUACCUUGAUCCUGCAGGUGCUUUUGCAUCCUGUCACCCACAGUCUUGCUUACUCUGAAUACAUGCUAUUGCAUACUCUAAGGCACUCUGAAGCUAAGCUUAUACAAUAUGUUUAUAAUCACAUAUUCAUUUCUAAAUGCAUUUUGAUUUCUACUCACUUCAUUGAUGUUUUACAAUAUUGAAUAAUUAUGACGAUUGGUUUUCAGUUAAAGAGCAAAAAUCUAGAGACUCAAAAUACUCAGGUGCAUGAUGAUUCUCCCAGAAAACAGCUACUCAUCUGUUUGGCUGGAGACUAUUCACAUUUUUACCAUGAAACACAUACUAUGAUAAAUAAAAUUGUAUCCUUGGAUAAUUUCUGUGUGUCAGCAAGCAGUUCUAGCCAGGGUGCCCAUGUAUGGUUUCUGACAUGGAAUGACAUGUGUUCACAACUGCCAGUCAUUCUAACUGAAAGAAGGGACAGUCUGCACACAGCAGGGUCAUGACAUCUAGCAGCCUGAGUAAACAAACUAGUGUUUCUCUCUCUCCUUCUUCCUCUUUCCAGACUGCUAAGGAGAAGUCAUAAACAUUUUACUUUUUUGGUUAUUUACUAGAACAAGAAGUCUCUGCUUUCCUUUUUUCAUCCAAGAUGGCACUAUGGAUAAUUUGUAAUUUAGAAGAUUUAGAACAUUUCACCUACUAAGUAUGAUAAAUACAAGCAACCAACAGAGGAAAAGUUACAUUUUAUUUCUUAUGGCAGAUUGUUGUAUUAUGCUUUGCUGAAAUAUAUACAAUUAAAUUGUCCAUCAACUAUUUUAUCAGCAACUCAUUAGAAGAAACUGUACAUUUAAAAUAGAGUAAUAAUGAACUUAGAUACAUUUUUUCAGCACAGCUGAGAGACUGCUUUCCAGUGCUGCCAUAUAAGGUAAUCAGGAAACACUGGACCCUGGUUCUGCUUAUUCAAGUGUAACCAAGAUUUGGAGUUUCCAAGUCCACUUUAAAAACCUUUAACUACUUAAAGCAUUGGAAUAAAGCUGACCACAAAGAUGGAAAAGAGAUGGAAGAGUGAGAAGAAGGAAAAAGAAGUUUUGAAGCAGAGACCAGAAAAAGAAAGACUGCGAAUGAUUUUGAAGCUCAUACAAGAUGUAGAAUGCCAAUCUCUUCUCUGUGUUCUAGAGGAGCUUUAAACAGCAAGCAAUAGAGUUGGCCAACUGAAGCACAUUAUUCAGCUGUGUUCUCUUUGGAGAUAACUGGUAAUUCUGAAAGGGAGAUGAGGGAGGAAGAAAGAAAGAAAGCUAUAACUUCUUGGUUUGUAAAUCUGCUGGUGAUAUAGUGAACUUAGAUUAAUUUCACAGCUCAAUCUUGAUAGUUAAAGUUGUGUUUUGUGUUUGAUCAUCCUAGGCCUGAGAACAUCCCUGUUAACCUUGUUGCAGCUCUCAACAAUGUAAAAAAAACUUCCUACCAAAUUAUAUUUUUAAUACACCUUAUGAUUUGGUAUAGAUAUGAAGGUAGAUGAAGAGGACAUAAAGAGAUACGUAGAAAAAGACCCAUAGUCCUUAAAAGGAGUUUUGCUCACUUCUGUAAAGGGACUGCAACAGUCCUUGUAGUAUUUUUUUUUGCAGGUGCUAUAAGAAUUACUCUGAAUGGCAGAAGAUGAACUUUGGCAGAAAAUACAGCGGAAACUUCAGCAGCUUAGGCAUGGUUAUAUACAGGUCUCAAUUGCUUUUAACUGAAGUCUUGUUUUGUUGUCUACAAAGGUUGUCUUGCUUUCAGAAAAGUAUGAGCUAUGUUUCAAUGAGACAGAAUUCUGAAAAAAAAAAAAAAAGUUUGAUGUUAUUUACAUUCACUGUAACUAAUCUGAAUCACUGAUUCUGGUUGGGACUGACAUCCCUGUCUAAGUCCCAAACCUAGUAUGAUUUUGUAUGUAGAGCCAGUUUAAAGUCACAGGCUCAGCUAGGUCUAGCUAGAACUGAUGAAGGAUAGAAGAUACAGAUUAAACAUUUUUCUCUAUUGUGAGACUAUAAAUAAAAAAUUGAAUGUGACCUUAUAACCAAAUGAUUUAUUCAUUGCUAUAUUAUUGAUAUCAAUGUGAAAUGUGUUGCUUUGCUGAGAAAGGGAAGGAUUUUGUGAGGAUACUGAAUGGUUGUUUUUUUUUUAGUGUCCUUAAAGUACAAACUGAUGGGGUCUGCUUCCUCUGUAGAAAUGGUAGUUUUCACUCAAAAGAAUAAAUGCUGUCACUUUAUGCUUCACAACUCUAGAAUGUUUCAGUUGUAGUGAAAACCCAGGAGUUUCUUGGCUUUUUGCUUUUAGUGGAGGACACAUUACUCUGUGAGAGACUUUACUUGGACAAAAUAACAUAGAAAAUGUUAACUUAGAAAAUAGACCAAAUAAUCUGCCACAGCUGUAGUUGUUUUUGUUUUGUUUUGUUUUUUACAAAUCAGCAAUGAACAAUUUGAUCUAAUUCAGAAAUAAUCAAAGGCUGCAUAAAUAUUUGGCUGCUACAAGUUUAAAAUAGUACCACGAUAAAAUUUCACGUACACAUGUCUUCUAAGAACAUAUUUCUUGUAAAUUUCACUGCACUGAAUAAUAACUUGAAUUAUUUUUAUCAGUACAAAAGUAAGUCUCCCUACACUACUCUAUUUUUUAUUAACAAUCACUUUUUAAUCUGUAUAUACUAUAUACAGCUAGUAGCUCUUUCAUUUUUGUACUUUCAAUCUGCUUCACAGGGUAUUAAUUAUGCACAAGUUGGCUACAUCUCUUCUGUCAUACCGAACAGCCACAUCUGCAUUUAAUCAUUCAUUAUAUGCUGUAAUCUACCACCUAACUUCCAGUCACUUUUACUAUCUAAAAGCAAGUAGGAGGUACUUAAGAAUCUAUCCCUGAAUAUCUAAUUGCAUACUUAACUGAUUAGUUUUAUAUGACAGUCUCUUAUAAACAUGCUAAUAAGUUGAAGACUCUUAAUUUGUAUCUACAUGCUACUGAUUUCUGUAUGAUUAUACAUAAUGAACUCAUCAUGAUCACACUUAGUGCUGCUCUUCUGAGAAUCAUGAAAAUAAAUGCAGAGUUUGGAGAGAAGGAUGUAGACAAAGGCAGAAAUGAUCAGUAAUAUGUUGCUUUGUAAGAGAUUUGAUGAGAAACUUCAUUCAGGUUUGCUUUGAGAAAUGGCUUAUUCCAAAUAGUUCAAGAGGAAAUAAAAGGACCAUGAAAACCUGGACAAUGAGGUAAACAAAAGUGAAAAGAAUUCACACAGAUGCUGUUUUACACCUAGCUCAACUAAUAACACCCAUCAUGCUCAGAGAUACAGGAAAAAGUGAAUCCAUGCCAAAUAAACCACCUCAGGUGUCAGUACUGGUGACUUCUAGUUACUUCCAAGCAUCUCAGUUAUUCACAGAACAGAGGCAAUGGGAGAGGUCCAAAGGAACUCUGUAUUGCCAUGUCACUGCUUUUCUGAGUAUUUCAAUACCUCCAUUAAAGUAAUGCCAUUACUAUGACCAAUUCACAAGCUUGAUUGAAAUUUCUUUAACAAUGUACAAUGUUGCAGACAGGAUGAGGUUAUCCAUUCCACCUCUGCUUUUUCUAGGGCAAUAGCUGAGAAAGGGAGUUUUAAAGGUAAACAGAAAUCUGAGGUAAUUCCUAAAGAAAAUGAACACUUACUAACUUUAAAGUAGUUAUUGUUAUACAAAGUGAGUUUUUGGGGUUAGCACAAAAGAAGAACAGCAUUUAAGGUCAAUAAAGGUGCAAUACUUUCCAUUGUUCACUGCAUUUCUACAUAAGUCUUAGAAACAGCACAAUCUGUAGCUCUCUUAUACAUAUAGGUAGCCUCUGGAGCUAUAUCACGGUUGUCCGUGAUUUUUCACUUGUUAUUAAAGGGCAUGAAUUCUUCCAAAGGGCAAGGCUAGUGCAUUUACUCAGACACCUACGCAAAUUGUCCCAGGAUCCUAAUUUGAUGUACCUCAGUGGAAAGUGAUUAGGGUCAGAGGACUUAAGCUGUAUUCUAACACAUAUUAGAUUUAAAUAAUCCUGUCUCAUCUCUUCUGGCUCCUAACCAGUUUAUUUUAACACUAAGUGAGUUUGUUUGUAAAGUCUAAAUGAAUUUUAACAGCUUCUAGUGACAUUUUACUAGAAAACAGAAAAACUGUAGCAAUUCAGGUUCCAAAGUGUAUCAGCGUUCAAUUUUUGAGGGUUUCUCAGUAGACUGAACUUUCCAGAGAUCCUUAUCAUUCAUAUAAAAUAGAUUGGGAUAAUAUCCUCAGAGUUAAUCUAUUUAAAAUGAAUAGUGAUCUUAGAUCCUUUCGGCAUUGGAUUUGUUAAGAAGAAAGUGAUAUUACUGCAGAGUUAGUCCCACUUCCAAGGCCAUGCAAUGGCUUUUCUCAAGCAAUUAAGAAGCUGUACAACUUCUACCUUUAAGAUAACUGUGGAAGAUAUAAUCUUUUAAGAUUAGACUACUCUACUGAUAGAAUUUAUCUUCUUUUCUCUCAUUAAAUAUUUUAAGAUUCUAAUUAACAGACCCUAUUCAAGAAUUUCUGAGAUGAAUGAAGGCAUAUUCAUAUUUUCUGAGAGCACUUUAUUCAGUCUUAUUUUAAAAGCCUAAAUUACAUAUAAGGUAUAUAUGUGUUUUUAAAUACAUUAGUCAGAAGGAAAUGAGUAAUAAUGCUGCACUGUAUUGUGCUGAUCUGUCCAGGCAUAGAAGAGGAUAAGUUGCUAUAUUUAUUGAUGCAAAACUUGUGGAUAACCUUGGUAAACCUUGCAUUUCCUCUGCAAUAGCUACAAAUGGUGGUUAAUGUUAAGCGAGAAAUUUGCAGAAAGCUUAUUAAAAACACAGCCUGUUUCUGCAGACUUUGUUUCGCUUUGACAUUUUAACCACAGUUUACCAGGAUGUGUCAAAACUUCUUGACUAGUCAUAGCAAUCUCCUCAGAAAAUAUGAGGAAAAGGUUUCUGUGCUCUUUCUUUCUUUCCUCCUUCUUUCUCUAUCCAUAAAUAUUUCAUAGAAUCAUACAGUUUUUUGAGUUGGAAGGGACCCUUAAAAGUCAACGAGUCCAACUCCCCUGUAAUUAAUAGGGACAUCCACAGCUAGAUCAGAUUUCUUAGAGUUUGUUCCAGCCUGAUCUUAAAUGUUUCUAGGGACUGGGAGUCCACCACCUCUCUGGGCAACCUGUUCCAAUGCUUCACUGCUGUUAUCAUUAAAAAAAACUUUGUUCUUAUACCCAAUCUAAAUCUCCUCUCUUUUAGUUUGAAACUAUUUCCCCUUGUCCUAUUAGAAAAGACCCUACUAAAGAGUCUGUCUCCUUCCUUCUCAUAGCUCCUUUUAAACACUGAAAGGUCACUAUCACGUUUCCCUGGAGCCUUCUGUUCUCCAAGCUGGACAGUCCCAGCUCUCUCAGCCUGUCCUCUUAAGGGAGUUGUUCCACCCCUUGGAUCUUUUUUAUGGCCCUCCUCUGGAUGCUUUCUGACAGAUCCACACCUCUCCUGUACUGAGGACUUCACAUCUGUCAUUGCUGCAGAGACCAGCUUUAGAGCAGGUAAGACUGCACUGAGUAAGGGACCUAAAGCAAAAAGGCCGACCAAAAAGCUCUUUUUAGGGCUUUUUUGAAGCUAGCAAAAGCACUGUACCGGUGCCGGGGGGCUGGCAGCUUGUGGGUGGGCUGCUGAGCCAGCAGGGGCAGAGCUGUCACUGCCCACUCUUAUCUCGUGAGUUCGACCUUGACCCUUUGCUGUGUGGCUAAAAUCAGCCUUCUGGAUGGCAGAAACAAGCUUCCACCCACUUAACACACCAGGUGAGAAAAGGGCGUUACCUUCCACUGACAAGAGGAAGGGAAGUCAGUGUGUGAGCACAGCCCACACUACCCAUAGAGUACUGCAGCAGCGGGUGUGAGUGGUGGGUCUUGUGGCAGGACACGUGAGUGUUUUUUGUCUUUGCUCAGACCGGGUCUCCUAUGGACAGACCCUGAGACCACCAGUUCAAACAUGGUCUCUACCAGGCAGCAGGCUUGCCCCAUGAAAACUGUGGAGACCCAGGCAGAGGGCCUGCCCAGAAAUGCUGCCGUUCAGGUCUCUGGCUGCAGGGAGUGCCUGAGCCUGCUGCUGCCAAGGGAGGAUGGGAAGGAUCCCACCUGCGUGAGGUGCGAGCAGGUAGACAAGCUGCUCAGCCUGGUGGUGGAGCUCAGGGAGGAGGUGGAGAGAUUAAGAACUAUCAGAGAGUGCGACCUUCUAGAGGCUUGGGGCAGAGUGGCUGGAAGACUGUGUAGAGAUGGACCUGAGGAUAUUGAUUGAUGCUCAACUGAACAUGAGCCAGCAGUGUGCCCAGGUGGCCAAGAAGGCCAAUGGCAUCCUGGCUUGUAUCAGAAAUAGUGUUGCCAGCAGGAACAGGGAAGUAAUUAUCCCCCUGUACUCAGCACUGGUGAGGCUGCACCUUGAGUACUGUGUACAGUUUUGGGCCCCUCACUGUAAGAAAGACAUCGAAGCCCUGGAUCGUGUCCAGAGGAGGGCAACAAAGCUGGUGAGGGGUCUGGAGCACAGGCCUUACGAGGAGUGGCUGAAGGAGCUGGGAUUGUUCAGUCUAGAGAAGAGGAGGCUCGGGAGAGACUGAAUUGAGAACGAUUCUAUGAUUCUGUAUUCCUCUUUUCCCAAAAGACUUAAUUCAAUACUCUUCCUAAACUGGUCAUUUGUUGGAAGCAUCUAACUUUACCACUAUAUAAAAUACAUAAACCAUUUUUCAUUACAUAAACUAUUAUCUUAACAGAUCAGGAUAAGAAAUGAAAAGUUGUUUUCUUGUGACACCAGCAAGGACAUCUAUGUAGGGGAAAAAAGGGAAUGUAUUAAGAAAGUAAACAACUGAUCACAGACAUCUCGGAGAAUGUGUGGAUCUUUUACACUGAGUUAUAAUAUCAAACUGCACUAGGGCAACAAGGAAUUCAAAAGGUUAUGCUUCUUUGCAUCUGUAAAUACAUGGAUGUUUGGAAAAUAUGUUUAAUGUUUUUAAAAAAUGAUUCAGCAAAGAAAAAGAGCAGUGCAGUGAGAUAAAAAGAUGAUUUAUCCUGUGGCCAGUGUGCUUCAAAUUGACCAGAGAAAGUAAUCUAAUCAGACUUUAUUAAACUGAUUCUGCAGUACAUCCCCAGUGCCUGGAAGCAUUGUCUGAGCUGGUCUGCAGUCUAAUCCUACUUUAGGAGGUUUGCCAACUAUUUAGCCUUUUCUAAGUAGAAAUAGAGCCACAAAAAUUUAAUUACUGCUAUUUUAAUAAGGAAAAUGUAAAACGUUGAUGAUGUCUGACAUAUGAAAGAAGCUGCAUUAGUGACAACAGUAUUUAAAAAACUCUGAUCAAGCACAACCUUUUUAUUUUGAGCAAGAUAUAGCAGAUAAUGUAGGCUCAAAAACCAGCCUAAAGAGCUGCUGCCAGGUUAUAUAAUCUCUGAGAACUCAUCCAAGGCAGUCCUGAAGCCAAACACAGAGAGGAGAAUUGCUAAGGGGUUGUGUUUGCUUCAACAGUUUCCCCCACUGCAUGACAAUCUCUGCCCCAUAAGCUGGCAGUGUUGAUGGUGGCUGUUUCAGAUUUCUGUAGAAAAAUAAGCUCAAUUCAUGUAAAAUAAUGUUUCCCACAGAUGACCUAAAAAGCAUGCCCAGAAAAUAAGUGCAGACUGUUGUCAGUCCUUGCUGGCAUUUGCAGAUGUCUAAGUUUCCUUCCAUCAUCCUUUGUAUGCUAGGUUAAAUCCUAGAAAGUUGCCAUGUCUCCUGGUAAAAAGAUUGCAUGGAGAAAUUCCUCUUCAAUCACACUACAAUGAACAAAGUUCCCAUGUUACAUUAUGGCAAUAAGUCACUACUUUUCAUGCACAUCUGUCAAUUUCAGGAGGUAUUGCAUUCCCUUGGGUGCAAUCCCCUUCAGUGUUUCACUGAAGAUAGGGUUACUGCUCUGUGUGGUUUCCUUUCACACAAGAGUAAUAUAGCACUUUUUCACUGAAAAAGGUCAGAAAAUUGCAACUUGUUGAUUACACUGUUCAAGAAGUUGCUCUCUCUUUUGCAUUUUGCCUGCAGCACUGCUACUGCACAAUAUUCCACUUUGAGUCUUGGGUCUACUUGUGAUUCUGUUUGUUUCUCCUGGACAAGCAGCACUACUUGUGUAAUCCUCUGAUGCAUAUUGAUGCCUUAAGUUGCUAACUCUGGCUUCUCUCCUUCUGCAUACUUCUAUUUCUUCAUGAACUUGUCCUUCAAGGCACAUGUCAGUAUUUGUUGUGGAAUGGACAAUGGCUGCCAGUACUCAAGUACUGUCUUUCCUUUUUGCCUCAACCAGGGUGGGCUUGCAUUUAUAGCCCAGUAGGCCAACUGUAUCCUAGGCUACAUCAAGAGAGGGGUGGCCAGCAAGGCAUGGGAGGUGAUUGUUGUCCUCUACUCUGCCCUCAUGAGGCCCCAUCUGGAGUACAGAAUCCAGAUCUGGGGCCCCCAGCACAAGUGGAGCAAUUGGAGGGGGUCCGGAGGAAGUCCAUGAAGAUGAUUAGAAGGCUGGAGCAUCUCUCCAAUGAAGAAGGAGGUGUUCAAGGCCAGGUUGGAUGGAUCCUGAGCAAUCUAAUCCAGUGCUUGAUUUAGAGGUUGGCAACAUUGCCCCAUGGCAAGAAGAUUGGAACUAGACGAUCCUUAAGGUCCCUUCUAACUCAAGCCAUUCUGUGAUUCUGUGUUUCAAUGAUUCUAUGAUAGAUGUAUGUGGAAACAGGGAAGUCUUGAGUUUUAAGGGUACAAAUGAUUUAGAUUUCCAUGGAAGGAAUUUUGCCUUCCAGAGUUCAUUCUGGGAUUUAAUUCUGUUUUAAAAUCAUUUGACCAAUGCUAGCGUGCUUCCAUAAUACUCACUGAUGGGUAUUGUUUCACUUAUAUGCAUUUUACUUCAGGGAACAUUGUGAAAAUAUUUCACUUCUUAUGUCUGCAAAAAUAUGGAUUAGAAUUGCUCAAUCCAAAAAAAAGAACAAGCAAAUAAUGUCAAGUUCACAAAAUUAAAGGCAAUUAUAGACUAUUUUAUAUACAUUUAAAAAAUAAAGCAAUAAAUGGCCAGUUUUGAACAUUCUCAGUGAUCACUAGAGAUUAGCUGUUAUGUUUUAUAUUCUCUGUUAUCUUUCAAGCAGAAAACCAAAUUUCUAGCCUGUUUCUUUAAAAUUCCUAGGUUUUGUAUGUGUGGUGCUCAUUCAAUUAUUUUAUAUAUUUAUUUUGCUUGUUUGAUGGCUUUGCAUUUGGAAGGCUGCCUGAGGAGAGAUGCCUGAAGGAAAAGAGGAAAUCCAGACAACUAUAAAAAUAUCCUACAUGUUUUCACAGCAAAAAAUGCAUGGGCACAAUGGCAGAUCUCUCCCAUGUUAACGCUGCAGCUGCAUAUAACAGAGGAGACUGCAUCACUAUCACCCUGGUGUGACAUUUUUGUGAGAUGCAGUUAGUACAAUGCUGUGACAUUUACAGUGUUGUGCACUGCAUUUAGUGGCAGAUCUGCUAACAACAGCAGAUCUAUUCCUGGCCACAUAGAGUGGAAUGCUGCCUACUCACUCUCUCCUCUCUGCAUUGGUUUCCUGCCCUAAUGUACGUUACAUUUAGAACUUUGAUGUUAACUGAAGGCCAGCCAAAAAAGGACUUGGAAUCUGAAUGCUUUCAUAUUUCUGGAUAUGGGGUGGUUUUGAAUUUCCAGAUUAGUAGUAACUCAUCUGAUGUUAGUGUUGAGUUGUUUCCAGAACCAUAUGGGACCUAAUUUCUAAUGCAGCCAAGAACUUAAAGCCAAUCUGAAGAAACGUGGGACAAGCUGACAAAAAAAAAAGUAUCACAGGCAGAAUAACAGUGAAAGAUUUACAUCAGUUUCCCCCUCAUAAACUUUAGUCAUUUGCCUUGAAGUUACUCAGAAGUUACACCGAUGUCUAUUAUUUUCUUAUUCAGUGGUACAAAUGUUCAUACUCAUCUCAUCUGUGUAAAUAUACAUCCGUGUAAAUAUGAAAGUGAUUAGAUCAAAGAAAACUCUCUUUUUCAUUUUCCUGAAGUAACUAAUUUUAUCAGCUAAGCAUUAAGUGUACUUUUUAAAAUGAUCGUUCAUGCUUUCGCUGAUAAACAGGAGAUAACUAACUGCAUGUCCCAGGCAACUACUUUAUUGAAGUGAGAUGAAUGAUCUUCUGAAGGCUCCCUUCUUCAUGAGCUGCAGUGAUCCUAGACAGUUAUUCUAGACAUUUGGUGUUUAGACAUCUCAGUGUUUUCACACAACUCUGUGUUCCUACCCUUUGUGUAACUUUUAUAUGCAAAAACCAUUGAGCAAUGUAAAAUAUGACCCCCAUUUUAGAACAAUCCCAAGAGAAUUUUUUUUUUAAAUAAAUUUCAUCUACCUGGAAAUGUUAGGACAAAAGUAAGAUUUUCAUGGUUUUCCAUUACUCCCUGUAAAAGCAGAGAAAAAAAGUCUGUUAGAUCUACGAAUAAAAGGAAAUUGGCUGAAAAGAGCUAAUUCAUAAUGAAACUAACUUGUCAGACUAUUUUCAUAGCACUAUCUGUACAAAGAUUAAAAAAAAAAAACACCUCUCAUAAAAUAUUAAUGCUUUAACCUUUAAGUUAUUAGCCCUUAUAAAUUUAAACUACUGCUUACAUUGUAGAGAUGGAAAAGUUUAAGCUAACAGGAAGAGAUGAAAACAGGGCUUUAUCUUCUCUCUCCUAUGGCUGGGUUUUUAAUAUGUUAUCAUUCUUCUCUCUCUCUAAAUCAGUAAAUUAAGUGAUGUUAAUCAUCUCAAAAGCAGAUACACUUCUAGUACAUGUGUAACACACACUAAAGACACAUUUGAGCCUCCCUCACAAGAGAAAGGAUUGAUCAAAUAUAGCUCUUCAGUGCGAGGAGGCACUGGGACAUCAUUUUUUCCCAGUACCUUUCCCAAAACAGUAGCAUAAAAAACAUCUCUAAAAUGCCUGUAGUAGAAAUCAGUAUAGCCAGUAGGAUCUCAACACAACAGAUGAAACUGAAGUGCAUAAAUAGUGAAUUGCACUGCAGCCAGCUUUUUAGUUUGUGGGAGCUUCAAUUACCACAUUCUCCCCUUUACAAGGCAUGAGGAUGCAACACAUUUGUGGCAGGGUAAUGUGAGCACUCCCUGCAUCCACAUCACAGGCUGAACCCAUCACCACUCACAAAGAGCACAUGCAGCUGGGGUAAAUUCAGCCUGGACAUUUCAGUCGUCUUUGGCACCGAGGAAUGGGAAUUUUUUAAUGUAUGUUAUUCUUCUGAGGAAUGUAAAAUAUUUUCACUUGGGACUUUUAAAUCCUCAAAUGUACACUCUGUGAACUGUUGACAUGAUGUUUUCAGGUCAAUAUUUCAACCAGAUUCCAAGAAUCCAAGAAUCAGCAGCUGCUAUUGUAAUUUUCCUAUGGGCUUCUAUUAAGUUGUUUCAAAAUUUGUGUUAAAAAUCAUGCUGGGAUAGAUCUGGAAAGGUGAAACAAGCAAGCAAAAAACUUUUGAAAAUUAUAUUUGCUCUGCAAAAAUGAUUACCCAUUUGCACAUUAAUAUGCACUAUUUUGUAUGUAUGUGUAAGAGAUUAUUCUUUUAUAUCAUUGACUCAAAGUUUGCUGAGGAACAAGUCCAGGCAAGUCCUGGGCAAAGGCAGAGAAAUCUUUUGUCUUGAGGACACUGAUGGACAGGUCCUGGCUAAGGAUUGUGAAAUCCUCUAAGGAGCACAGAUGGACAAGGCCAGGGGCAUCGAGAGAGAGAUAAGCUGCUGCUAAUGGCCGGGAAACGGUCUUUUUGUGUGGACUUAUCUCAAGGAAAAUGGCCAUCUCAGGAGGUAUGCACAGGACUCUUGCUCAAGCACCCAGGAAUGUCACGUAGGCAGCAGAAAAUGGAGGAUAAAAGAGGGUCCAACAACCACGGCUAGGUGGAGGCUGAUCUCUCACCACGACACGAGCUUUCUGCCUUCAGAUCCUUCUCUACGGACCGUUUGCUGACGGACUUCCCUGGGCCUGCUACCUGAGACCUGCUGCUUCCUCCCUGACCUGCACUCUCUCGUUGCCCAAGACCGGCCUCGCUGCUCCUGCCCUUCGGCGUCGGAACCUCGUGCUACGGGACUGCUGCCGGAUCCUGGUGUAUUAUUAACUAGCAUCAAAGAAAACAUGG
rnacentral:lncRNA from 1 species